UGUAGAUAGUAAUCCCUAUGACACUCACCAAGAUAUAAAUUACACAUGCAUGCUUUAGAAUAUUGGAUGCAUCACCAGCACUCAACCCCAUAGCUAAUUAAUUAACUGAGUAGUUCUCCACCUUUUGCCUAGACACUUUGACUUCAGCUACAGAGGGGACAAACCAACAUUGAUCUGUUGUGUUUACCCUUGCAUUGUCUGUUUUGGAAUGGAACGUAGCCUGGUUAUUGAUGGUGGUGUGAGACUGGGUUUAGCAUUAUACUGUAUCUAGCUAGCAGCUACUGACAGAGGCACUUGAAACAACUUUGUGUAUGAGCUAG